AACGAACGCUGGCGGCAUGCCUAACACAUGCAAGUCGAACGAGACCUUCGGGUCUAGUGGCGCACGGGUGCGUAACGCGUGGGAACCUGCCCUUAGGUUCGGAAUAACUCCCCGAAAGGGGUGCUAAUAUCGGAUAAUGUCUUCGGACCAAAGAUUUAUCGCCUUUGGAUGGGCCCGCGUUGGAUUAGCUAGUUGGUAGGGUAAAAGCCUACCAAGGCGACGAUCCAUAGCUGGUCUGAGAGGAUGAUCAGCCACACUGGGACUGAGACACGGCCCAGACUCCUACGGGAAGCAGCAGUGGGGAAUAUUGGACAAUGGGCGAAAGCCUGAUCCAGCAAUGCCGCGUGAGUGAUGAAGGCCUUAGGGUUGUAAAGCUCUUUUACCCGGGAUGAUAAUGACAGUACCGGGAGAAUAAGCUCCGGCUAACUCCGUG
rnacentral:rRNA from 1 species